AUACGGGGAGCAGCAGGCCCGGUCCCUACGGGGCGCAGCAGGCGCGAAAACUUUACAAUGCUGGCAACGGCGAUAAGGGGACCUCGAGUGCCAGGUUACACAAUCUGGCUGUCGUGAUGCCUAAAAAGCAUUGCAUAGCAAGGGCCGGGCAAGACCGGUGCCAGCCGCCGCGGUAACACCGGCGGCUCGAGUGGUAACCGUUAUUAUUGGGUCUAAAGGGUCUGUAGCCGGCCGGAUAAGUCUCUUGGGAAAUCCAGCAGCUCAACUGUUGGGCUUUCAGGAGAUACUGUCUGGCUCGAGGCCGGGAGAGGUGAGAGGUACUUCAGGGGUAGGG
rnacentral:rRNA from 1 species